UUUUCCACUUCCUGGUUGGAUAACUACAAAACACAGGUACUUGAUAUGAUGUGAUAAAGGGACGACGGAGAUGAUACUGCCACAGUCUGUGUAACCUGUAGCAGCAUCAGAAACACCAUGGAAACCAGCGGGAAAUUCAUCAACUUUGUGAUUACUAUAACGGUUGUGACUGUCACACAGUUUCAGGGUACUGUCUAUGGCCAAGGGAACGUACCUUGCUGCAGCAGUGGACAAACUGAGAACAUCACGGAAUGUUGCUUAUUGUGUGAUUCGAAAACAAAUUGUUCGGCCUUAGACCUUAAAACACUUUAUACCAAUGAUAGAAGAUGUAUUAUGUCCACAACCUCCACUGAGGCAACGUCUGCCGUGGGGACCACUUUAUCGGAGUCGGAGACCUCCACCACUUACACAACACCACCCACUGGGGAGGACGGGGGACAAGUCACUCUCUGUGUAUCGGCGUGUCCGGGAGGGUCUUAUGAAGAUCAGAAUCAAACAUGCUUAGAAUGCACAUAUGGAAGGAACUCUACUGGUGACUGCUGUCCCAAUGGAACACGGUCAAAAGAUAAUGGAAAUAUUACCAUUUGCGUGGUCAUACCGGUACCAACGUCUACCCCGGAACCAUCAGUCGAUGACAAAAUAUACAUAAUCAUUGGAAGUGUUGUUGGCGGACUGGUAGUCCUCGGACUUCUGGUUGUUGUGGUCUGUUUAUGUUGCCGUAGACAAGGAAAUGGUCAACAAGGUCAAAAUCGCCCCAUAAGUCGGUUGUUGGAGGUAAGGAAAAUAACAAUAUUUCAUGUCGCCAUAAGCAUCGGGUGUAAAUCAUAUUUCAUCGAAUGUUUCGUUGCUUGUAGCUCAGGAAAAGAAAGAAUUACGAUUACCCUGACUUCCAGCUUCCAAGUGCAAACGAGUUAAAAAGUGUUGAGGAAUCAAUAGUCACCGGCGGCAGAGGGCCCGGGCCGUACGAGAACACCGCCACAUUGGACCAUAGAGACAUUGCUAGGCGUGCUCAGCAGGAACAGGACAAGAUCGGCCGCUACGCAAGAGAUCCAACGGGGAAAAAGAAGAAAGGAAACCAAAGCACCGCCAAUGACGACGAAGAGCCCCAGGAAACGUAUGAAAAUCAAUCGACCAUUGACUUACACAGCAAGGGGGUCCAUAAGAAAAAGAAAGGACCAUUCAACAAACUUUCACAAAAGUUCAGAUCGAAAAAGGGGCACAAGCAAUUAGAUGCUAAGACUAGGAGAAAAACGGAACCUCCAGCGGUGACGGAACCAUUGGAAGCAUACGAGGAUGUGAACUCUCCCUCUCCUCAGGCGGAUUUACCGACGGAGACGUACGAAGAUGUGGGAUCUGGUCAUCCGGACUUCCCGCAGGAAAAUUACGAAGGUGUAGACAUGCCCGUUAACCUUAACGACGAUAUGCCAACCGAAGAAUAUACCGCCAUGGACCCCAGUACACUAGUGCCUCAGGCAGAAACUCAACC
rnacentral:misc_RNA from 1 species